rnacentral:rRNA from 1 species
UACAGAGACUGCAAGCGUUAUUCGGAUUCACUGGGCGUAAAGGGUGCGCAGGCGGCCAAGUGUGUCAGGUGUGAAAUCCCGAGGCUUAACCUCGGAACUGCGCCUGAAACUACUUGGCUAGAGUACUGGAGAGGGUAACGGAAUUCACGGUGUAGCAGUGAAAUGCGUAGAGAUCGGGAGGAACACCAGUGGCGAAGGCGGCUACCUGGACCAGCACUGACACUCAGGCACGAAAGCGUGGGGAGCAAACAGG